rnacentral:snoRNA from 2 species
AGAGGAAGGAAGCAUGGUAGUGUGCACGGAGAGCAGAGCACCAGCGGGUCUGCAUGUCUGCUCGCCGUGACGCCUUCGGGCUUUGAUCAUGCGGGCCUGGAUUCGACCCACAUUU